CGGGCGGUAGCGCAGUCUGGCAGCGCGCCUGCUUUGGGAGCAGGAGAUCGCGAGUUCGAAUCUCGCCCGCCCGACCA
rnacentral:tRNA from 2 species